AGCAUUCGCCAGUCACGCCGAAGACUCCGGUUCGAUUCCUUACGUGGGUACUGUGGGUGGUGCCCAUUUCGGGUGUCCCCCGCCGUGAUGUUGCUGGAAU